rnacentral:rRNA from 1 species
AAAUGGCCGCAGUACCUUGACUGUGCUAAGGUAGCAUAAUCAAUUGUCUUUUAAUUAGAGUCUGGAAUGAAUGGAUAAAUGAAGUUUUACUGUCUUAAUAAUAUUAAUUUGAAUUUAUUUAUAAGGUGAAAAUACCUUAUACUAGAAAAAAGACGAGAAGACCCUUAGAAUUUUUAAAAAUGUUAAUUUGUUUAAAUUAUUUUUUUGUUGGGGCGACAAAUAAGCAUUUAAACCUUAUAUUACUUAUGGUACGAAUUUUUUAGAAAAAAUUAAAUUACCUUAGGGAUAACAGCAUAAUUAUUUAUUUAGUUUGUGACCUCGAUGUUGGACUAGGAACUUUAUGACUAACCGUCAAAAAAGAUUUGUUCUGUUCGAACAAUUU